rnacentral:lncRNA from 1 species
GAGAAGCUUCUUGUCACCUGAGCUCUGCUUCAUCUGACACUGACUUCUUAGGUGGCCCAGAAAAAUCCCUGAACUUUUUGCUUGAAUCUCAGCUGACAAAUGGGAAGAUGUCUGAGGAGGAGCAAACCUGCGCGUCUGAGACUCUGAGGAUAGACUGAGUACUUUCUACCAUUACAAGACUUUUGGACAAGCUGAAGGUACCAUUUACCAGUACUGCUCUACAGGGACUAUGAACCGUCAUGACUAUUGAACAGAAUCAUGGAGGUGAUACAUGCAAAUUAAUAACUCUUUUGGUCCAAAGCAUGUGUACAGU